rnacentral:lncRNA from 1 species
CCAAGCUGUCUUCCAAGAAGGAGGAAGGGAGUAAUAAAUCAGAAAAGCCACUGAGAAGUGAUGGUGUGGAAGCCAGAAAGAACAGGUGGGAGGAUGACAGAGUAACAAGGAAACAAUAAAUUCAGUUUUGGAACGGCUGAAAUUGAAGUAUAAGCAAGACAUCCUGGUGUGGAUGACCAAGAGGCAGGUGAAGAAGCAGACUCAAGCUGAGGAACAACUUGUGUACCUGGUAUGUGGUGUCAGUUAAUAUAAUAUGUGGGGGUGACAUUAUUCUUGGAAAGUAUAUUGAGUGAAAAAAACUCAGACUAGAGAAAGCGCAUCAGCAUUUCAGGGCAGAAGCAAGGAAACAAGCCAUAUUAGGCAGUAGUUAAAAGCUGAAGGUUUGCAGUUCUAUUGCCUUGGGCAAGUUAAACUUCUAAAUUUUCUCAUCUAUAAAGUAGCUAUGAUAAAACUCAGUUCUCAAAGUUACCAUAAGAAUCAUGCAAGGAGACCUCACUGAAACAUAAGUUGGUAAAUUUUUUUAUGCAUUUUAAUCUCCACUUCCCACUGA